rnacentral:rRNA from 1 species
GACGAACGCUGGCGGCGUGCUUAACACAUGCAAGUCGAACGGAAAGGCCCUGCUUUUGUGGGGUGCUCGAGUGGCGAACGGGUGAGUAACACGUGAGUAACCUGCCCUUGACUUUGGGAUAACUUCAGGAAACUGGGGCUAAUACCGGAUAGGAGCUCCUGCUGCAUGGUGGGGGUUGGAAAGUUCCGGCGGUUGGGGAUGGACUCGCGGCUUAUCCGCUUGUUGGUGGGGUAGUGGCGUACCAAGGCUUUGACGGGUAGGCGGCCUGGGAGGGUGACCGGCCACAUUGGGACUGAGAUACGGACCAGAAUCCUACGGGAGGCAGCAGUGGGGAAUAUUACGCAAUGGGCGGGAGCGUGAUGCAGAAACGCCGGGUGCGGGAUGACGGCCUUCGGGUUGUGAACCGCUUUCGCAUGUGACGAAGCGUGAGUGACGGUAAUGGGUAAAGAAGCACCGGCUAACUACGUG